rnacentral:rRNA from 1 species
UCUGUAGCAAGGUUAACCGAAUAGGGGAGCCGAAGGGAAACCGAGUCUUAACUGGGCGUUAAGUUGCAGGGUAUAGACCCGAAACCCGGUGAUCUAGCCAUGGGCAGGUUGAAGGUUGGGUAACACUAACUGGAGGACCGAACUGACUAAUGUUGAAAAAUUAGCGGAUGACUUGUGGCUGGGGGGGAAAGGCCAAUCAAACCGGGAGAUAGCUGGUUCUCCCCGAAAGCUAUUUAGGUAGCGCCUCGUGAAUUCAUCUCCGGGGGUAGAGCACUGUUUCGGCAAGGGGGUCAUCCCGACUUACCAACCCGAUGCAAACUGCGAAUACCGGAGAAUGUUAUCACGGGAGACACACGGCGGGUGCUAACGUCCGUCGUGAAGAGGGAAACAACCCAGACCGCCAGCUAAGGUCCCAAAGUCAUGGUUAAGUGGGAAACGAUGUGGGAAGGCCCAGACAGCCAGGAUGUUGGCUUAGAAGCAGCCAUCAUUUAAAGAAAGCGUAAUAGCUCACUGGUCGAGUCGGCCUGCGCGGAAGAUGUAACGGGGCUAAACCAUGCACCGAAGCUGCGGCAGCGACGCUGAUGCGUUGUUGGGUAGGGGAGCGUUCUGUAAGCCUGUGAAGGUGUACUGUGAGGUAUGCUGGAGGUAUCAGAAGUGCGAAUGCUGACAUAAGUAACGAUAAAGCGGGUGAAAAGCCCGCUCGCCGGAAGACCAAGGGUUCCUGUCCAACGUUAAUCGGGGCAGGGUGAGUCGACCCCUAAGGCGAGGCCGAAAGGCGUAGUCGAUGGGAAACAGGUUAAUAUUCCUGUACUUGGUGUUACUGCGAAGGGGGGACGGAGAAGGCUAUGUUGGCCGGGCGACGGUUGUCCCGGUUUAAGCGUGUAGGCUGGUUUUCCAGGCAAAUCCGGAAAAUCAAGGCUGAGGCGUGAUGACGAGGCACUACGGUGCUGAAGCAACAAAUGCCCUGCUUCCAGGAAAAGCCUCUAAGCAUCAGGUAACAUCAAAUCGUACCCCAAACCGACACAGGUGGUCAGGUAGAGAAUACCAAGGCGCUUGAGAGAACUCGGGUGAAGGAACUAGGCAAAAUGGUGCCGUAACUUCGGGAGAAGGCACGCUGAUAUGUAGGUGAAGUCCCUUGCGGAUGGAGCUGAAAUCAGUCGAAGAUACCAGCUGGCUGCAACUGUUUAUUAAAAACACAGCACUGUGCAAACACGAAAGUGGACGUAUACGGUGUGACGCCUGCCCGGUGCCGGAAGGUUAAUUGAUGGGGUUAGCGCAAGCGAAGCUCUUGAUCGAAGCCCCGGUAAACGGCGGCCGUAACUAUAACGGUCCUAAGGUAGCGAAAUUCCUUGUCGGGUAAGUUCCGACCUGCACGAAUGG